rnacentral:tRNA from 1 species
CGGGGUGUGGUGCAGUUUGGUAGCAUGCAUGAUUUGGGUUCAUGAGGUCGGAGGUUCGAAUCCUCCCACUUCGACCA